AUACGUAGGGUGCAAGCGUUAAUCGGAAUUACUGGGCGUAAAGCGUGCGCAGGCGGUUUUGUAAGACAGUGGUGAAAUCCCCGGGCUCAACCUGGGAACUGCCAUUGUGACUGCAAGGCUGGAGUGCGGCAGAGGGGGAUGGAAUUCCGCGUGUAGCAGUGAAAUGCGUAGAUAUGCGGAGGAAAACCGAUGGCGAAGGCAAUCCCCUGGGCCUGCACUGACGCUCAUGCACGAAAGCGUGGGGAGCAAACAGGAUUAGAUACCCUGGUAGUCCACGCCCUAAACGAUGUCAACUGGUUGUUGGGGAUUUAUUUUCUCAGUAACGAAGCUAACGCGUGAAGUUGACCGCCUGGGGAGUACGGCCGCAAGGUUAAAACUCAAAGGAAUUGGCGGGG
rnacentral:rRNA from 1 species